UAUACUUAAAAUAGCUCAGAAAUGGUGAAAUUAAAAUUGUGAUAUGCGAAGAAUUCAGAACACUCCUCAUAUCUGGUUUUGUGCAUACAGGAUAAAGAAAUAUGGCAACUCACGUGUAAAGAAGCAGAUAAGGAAACCACAACACCUACAGUUCCUCUUUUGGCUGCUCACAAAAGGCAAGCGUCUGUAGAAACUGUUGUGAAAAAUUAUGAAGAACACUAUGCUGCUAUGCACAUUCAAGUAGCUUUUAGGAGAUACUUGGACCGCAAAAGCCUGCGGAGACCUACAGUUCCUCUUUUGGCUGCUCACAAAAGGCGAGCGUCUGUAGAAACUGUUGUGAAAAAUUAUGAAGAACACUAUGCUGCUACGUGCAUUCAAGUAGCUUUUAGGAGAUACUUGGACCGCAAAAGCCUGCGGAGACCUACAGUUCCUUUUUUGGCUGCUCACAAAAGGCGAGCGUCUGUAGAAACUGUUGUGAAAAAUUAUGAAGAACACUAUGCUGCUACGCGCAUUCAAGUAGCUUUUAGGAGAUACUUGGACCGCAAAAGCCUGAGGAGACUAGUAGUUCUGCAAAAUGCUAUCCAAACC
rnacentral:lncRNA from 1 species